AUUGAACGCUGGCGGCAUGCCUUACACAUGCAAGUCGAACGGUAACAGGUCUUCGGAUGCUGACGAGUGGCGAACGGGUGAGUAAUACAUCGGAACGUGCCUAGUAGUGGGGGAUAACUACUCGAAAGAGUGGCUAAUACCGCAUGAGAUCUACGGAUGAAAGCAGGGGAUCGCAAGACCUUGUGCUACUAGAGCGGCCGAUGGCAGAUUAGGUAGUUGGUGGGAUAAAAGCUUACCAAGCCGACGAUCUGUAGCGGGUCCGAGAGGACGAUCAGCCACACUGGGACGGAGACACGGCCCAGAAUCCUACGGGAGGCAGCAGUGGGGAAUUUUGGAGAAGGGGCGCAAGCCUGAUCCAGAAAUGCCGCGUGCAGGAUGAAGGCCUUCGGGUUGUAAACUGCUUUUGUACGGAACGAAAAGCCCUGGGUUAAUACCCUGGGGUCAUGACGGUACCGUAAGAAUAAGCACCGGCUAACUACGUGCCAGCCGCCGCCGUAAAAC
rnacentral:rRNA from 1 species